CCCGAAGCAAGCUGCCCUGCAGCAGCUGAGCGCCUGUGUCGCGCACCACCCUGCGAGAGCCGAGAGGACCCAAGGUCAAUAAACAGCGUCCUCCCGUGAGUCUGGGAUGUGCCACGAGAGCCGCGGCUCCUGCAGGACCAGAAGGGACAGAAGAAUAUAAACAGGCUGAGAACAUGGGAGAAACGGAUCUGUGUAAGACUGUCCCCAGAACACACACAUCUGAACAUCCCCACCGCGUGACCAGUAUCCAGACUGGGAUGAGACCAUCACCAGGACCAGAGAAGCUUCCCUCAUGCGCCAACCCAGGGCCCACCCCCAAAGGUGGCAUUCCAGGCAGAAGGCAGAGCACAGGCUGCACACCCCAGAGGCUCCACAUACGGGACCCUGCUUGGGAAAGCAGAAGGAGCUGCUCCGUUGUGGUGGAGAGGGACCGCUCUCACGAACCCAGGGCCCGGAAAUCGGGAUCAGAGAAGACAGCCUUCCAGUUCCAUGCAACAGACCUUAAAAUCCCCGCAGGAAAACUGUUCAUGCCUUUGGCCUUGGAUCUGUUUGUACUGGAAGAAAACCCAUCCUCCAUCCUGGCCUGCUGAGAAAGUGGCUGCCAGGCCCCAUCAGCCUGCGACAGACAGAGCCCCACGGAGCACGGUCGGCCGCCACCGUGCACAACCAGCGCCCCUUACACGCUUGGCACUGGGGACACAGAGCCAUGAAGAAGAGCUCAGCAAACACGUGUGUUGCAGCCUCAGUAUGAAACAUGCAGUGGGAAGCCACGCACUAGGCUUCGAGGUGGCUUUUAAUUGCUUGUUCCAAAGACGCCAGCCCGUGAAUCACUUUCUGACUUUUCUCCUCCCUAAUUAGACCGGGAAGCUGCCGUGGUACAUACGCUGCUCACUUUAGUUAUAAGUGAGUGACACAAACAUUGUGAAAGAAAACACCAUCCGUCAGGAACACAGUAACAGAUCCGAGAAAAAUUACUAACAAUUAGCCCGGACUCUGUGCUGGCUUCACAUAAAAGGUCACAAGCAAGGUCUUUGUUCAGAAGAAUCUUUAUUUUGAAAUCCUGACCGCCCAAAACAGAGCCCUGCACACACAUCCUGUACCCUGAGACCAUCCGGAAAGAUAACGCGGAGGGAGGCAGGCUCCGGCCUCAGUCCUCCUGGGGAAUCGCCCUCCAUCACGUGCACUGGGGCCAAAGACCCAGGUCACCCGGACAGUGAGGCACCGCGUGGCCUCGGAUGCCGUGGGAGGCUCCACCUGCCCCACACGCCAUGGCAAUCACUGCAGGGGCUACGGUCCCUCACACACAGACCACAGACGCAGGGGACAGGGACAGGGACAGGGACAGGGACAGGGACAGGGCUGGCCAACAGGCAAACACGCCCUGCAGCCUCCGGCGCCCAGAACUGAGGACGACACCGGGUCCGCCGGCCUCUGCAUAGAACAGCAGAUUCCACGCCGCCCACGAUCCCGCCAGCGCCGUGCAAAUGUACACACACCGAGCUUCGGUCACAUGAUGACAGUGCGCGUGAGUCACAGAUAACACGUCACAGGACACGGCUUGUGAUAGUUUUCCUGUCUUUCUCAUCUUCGUACCUGGAGCUGGAGUAUUUUCCGAGCAAAACCAUGAUCACAGCUUGAUUACAACACCCUGCUCUGUCAAAAAAAUGGGAUCAUUGCUUCAAAUGUCAGAUUAAAAAAGACCCAACGUGAGCCACCUCCACUAAAUAUAUUAUGCAUUCCUCUG